rnacentral:rRNA from 1 species
UACGAAGGGGGCUAGCGUUGUUCGGAAUCACUGGGCGUAAAGCGCACGCAGGCGGAUCGAUAAGUCGGGGGUGAAAGCCCGGGGCUCAACCUCGGAAUUGCCUUCGAUACUGUCGGUCUCGAGUCCGGGAGAGGUGAGUGGAAUUCCUAGUGUAGAGGUGAAAUUCGUAGAUAUUAGGAAGAACACCAGUGGCGAAGGCGGCUCACUGGCCCGGUACUGACGCUGAGGCACGAAAGCGUGGGGAGCAAACCGG